CCUGGAAACAGAUGCUAAUACCGGAUAACAACACUAGACGCAUGUCUAGAGUUUAAAAGAUGGUUCUGCUAUCACUCUUGGAUGGACCUGCGGUGCAUUAGCUAGUUGGUAAGGCAACGGCUUACCACGGCAAUGAUGCAUAGCCGAGUUGAGAGACUGAUCGGCCACAUUGGGACUGAGACACGGCCCAAACUCCUACGGGAGGCAGCAGCC
rnacentral:rRNA from 1 species